rnacentral:ncRNA from 1 species
GAAGAAUCAGCUGGUCCUUCCAUUGCCGAAAGGUAUUGGUAAACCGUUGAAACUCUUCCGUGACCGGGAUAGGGAAUUGUAAUUAUUUCCCUUGAACGAGGAAUUCCUAGUAAGUGUGAGUCAUCAGCUCACGUUGAUUACGUCCCUGUCCCUUUGUACACACCGCCCGUCGCUGUCCGGGACUGAGCUGUUUCGAGAAGAGUGGAGACUGCUGUAUUGGGGCUUUCGGGCUCUGGUAUGAUGGAAACCAUUUUAAUCGCAAUGGCUUGAACCGGGCAAAAGUCGUAACAAGGUAUCUGUAGGUGAACCUGCAGAUGGAUCAUCG